GGGAGAGGUAAGAGGUACUACAGGGGGUAGGAGUGAAAUCUUGUAAUCCCUGUGGGACCACCUGUGGCGAAGGCGUCUUACCAGAACGGGUUAGACGGUGAGGGACGAAAGCUGGGGGCACGAACCGGAUUAGAUACCCGGGUAGUCCCAGCCGUAAACGAUGCUCGCUAGGUGUCAGGCAUGGCGCGACCGUGUCUGGUGCCGCAGGGAAGCCGUGAAGCGAGCCACCUGGGAAGUACGGCCGCAAGGCUGAAACUUAAAGGAAUUGGCGGGGGAGCACAACAACGGGUGGAGCCUGCGGUUUAAUUGGAGUCAACGCCGGG
rnacentral:rRNA from 1 species